UCCAGUUGUGAAGUAUCAGCGGGCUCAGAAAACAGCAUGAGCAGGAGAGAAGAAGAAAUAUCGUGUUUUGUGGAUUUAUGAAACGUUUUCUUUCUCUUUUAACGCCUCGACGUGACGCUGAAAUAUCAAACUGGUCGUAUUUUAUCUGUAUCCUGUUGGUGAAAGAGGUGCUGUUAAAUGAAACCCUAACAAAUGGCGACUCCUCAGAUCGGUGGAUUGGAAGGGAUGGGCCAGUUCCCUGGCCACCACGUUCACCAGAUUUCAGACUUUCUAUGGGGCUGUGUUAAAGAUAUCGUGGAUCGGACAAAGAUACGGGACAUUACUGAUUGAAGCAAAAGAUUUCUGAUGCCAUUGCCACCACUGAUGAGGUUAUGCCACAGCGAACAUGGCAAGAAAUCGGGUACCGCCUUGAUGUGAUUCGUGCAACUAAUGGUGCUCAUAUAGAGGUGUAUUCAGUGAGGUAUAAAAAACUUUGACAACCACUGAUUACAAUAAAACAAAUCUGACUUUAUGAACACCCUGUAUAUGGGGGAAAAUAUCAAGAGAUAGGGUUCUUCCUCUGGGGACACUAAAUAUUUGCACUGAAUUUUACUGUAGUUCAUUGAAUAGUUGCAAUUGAUAUAUUGUAGUCUGCACUCAAAGUAGUGAGCUGACUGAAGGACUGGCAUCCCUUGGGCAUUGCUGCUUACAUGGCUAAAAAUAACACAUCUCCUUGUCUUGAGAGGUUUUCUACACGUAUGCAGUGGGUAUGGUCAAACCAGUUACUGCACUGGUACUAUUUUGACCCCAGUUGAGUCCGCUUUGAACUAUUUAAUGGUCAUUUAUUUCAUAAUUGAAGUAGGUACAAGAACUAUCAAGACACCCUAUGGUGAAAAUCAAGUUUUUUAUUUUGUUGACAUGUCCAUUUGGGUUUUUAUAUGUGCUAGAUGACAUAUAUUAUGAGCAAAAGCAUCAGUUCACGCCAUAGCUGUGCAUUUCUGCCUUGAAGCUGUAGCUUACAGAUACAGAAACAUGGAUUCAGACAGCUACGGUUUCAUACGUAACAAAUGUCAGCUUAGAUUGUGGGGUUUUCCAUAUUAUUGUUCUGUUUAGGGUUGAUUUCGGGUUCGAACAUUCGUGGCUACAUUACUCCAGUAAUGUAAUUUGCCAUUAAGUAAGAGAUAGAGUAGUUUUACAGUGUUUCAGCAUAUUCAUAGGUGAGCUGGUGUGCUUGAAUUAUAGCAGGUGGGUGGACACUUCGUAGAUGUGCAUAUUAUAGAGGAAUUAAUGGUGUUAGGGAGGGGUUAUUGUCAUUUUAAAAAUUCUAACUUAUGCUAACUACCAAGAAAGAAACCUGAAUUCCUCACAUUGAACUGAUUCCCAGCAGUAGUGAAGUGCAAAUUAAAAACAUGACAGCUGUCUGCCAUGUUAUUUAUUCAGCAAUCAACACAUGCACAUGCAAUGUGUGAUUUGUUUUUACUUUAGUUUGCUGCUUUCUGGCGUUUUGACAGGGUUUGUGUGGAAGCUUGAGAUCAGUUUUUGCUGCCUUUGUGCAAUUUUCUAACAUUUAUCAUAUUCUACUGGUUAUUAUUCCAUUUCAUUUACCUCCCAUAUUGUAUAUAUUGGCCUCCUUUGCAGAUGUUGUCAUUUUUAAUACUGUUUUGCUAUAUAUGUACAUUUGAUUCUAUUAAUGUUGAUUUUUUUUCUUAUUGCUUGUUGUUGUGCACCGUCCAGCGGAAGCUAUUUAUAUUUUGGUCAUGCCAUGUACGAUGACAAUAAGGCCAUUCUAAUUCUAAUUCUAAGUUUAAUGUGAUAGCUGUUUUUUGCAUUUCUUAAGGAGGAUGCGUUAAUUUCCCGGCUGCCUAGAAGCUUCCCAGUGGGCUGCUUCACCUGUACGCCUUGCUAGAGUCUAGGCAUUAUCUCUUUCUUUGAACAAAAUAGAUGGUAUCAUGGGAGAACCAAGGACUUGAUCCAUUUUUAAUCAAAUGUUCUCCUAUAUAAUCCUUUUUUUCUUUUUUUUAAAGCUUUUUGAUGUUUGCAGUAGUGUUUGAAGUCCUGGUCAGCUGGUGUGCUGGAGCUGUAGCAGGUGCGUGGAAAGCAAUGGUGUAGGAAGGGAAUAUUUUAAUGCAAAUCGUCUAACUUUGAUAAGUACCGAUGGGUUUUUCUGGGUUUAAUCAUUACCUCAAGAGGAACGUUAAACGAAAGCUGAAUUGGUGCUUGAAUCAAAUUUUUUAUAGGCCAGUCAAAUACAAAAUGUGUCAUACAGUGAGAACAAAAUGGAAAUUCUGUCUUAUGACGUGGCUGCUGGUUUCCCACCGAAAAUCCGUAGUGUGGUGGGAAGAUGCAGCUGAUGUGAACCUGUGGAUGCGUCCAUCAGGUCUUCUGUAAUGGCCACAAUAAAAACGAUGGCUUCCCACCUCAUCCCAGCUGCUUCCCCAGUCUCUUCCCCUUCAUCCUCUUCUCCUCAAACUCCCGUCUGAUCCAAUCAGAGCCGAGGGAAGCUGCGGAGACGGCAGCUGUACGGCAGAGGACAGGGUCAUAAAGCGCAGAGGGCCGAAAGAGGAAGUCAAGGGACCUGGCCUCAGGGAUCAGGACCUGAUGGAGGAGGCCUGAGAAGUUUCCCAGAGACUAUGGGUUGAGGAGGAAUUGGAAGUUUGUCGGCUUAGACCUGGUGUCAUUCCAUCAGUGUUAAACUUCCCGGCUCAUCUUGGAAGAGUAUGUGCCAGAAAGACCACGACCAAGCAGCCUUGAGAUCUUAGGCAGCGUCUCCCUCAGGUGGGUGUCGACGGUGUUCACGGUCAGGUCUGUGGUAAUCCCGUCAAAAAACAAAACAGAAAAAAAUCUAGAUUAUAAAUCAACAUGUAACCAAAGCACUCUGUGUAUAACGCCAUAGUAUAGGAUGUAGUUCAGAAAAUGUCAAAGUAUAGUAUGCUUUACUCAAGAAUAACAUAGUAUGGCCUGUAGUUCAUAGUACAGCAUGUUGGCAAGGAAAAAAAAAAAAACAUAGAUUAUUAUGUGGUUCAAAAAGCGCAAAAUGAUAGGAUGUUGCCUAAAAUUGUCAUGUAUGAUAUGUGGUUCAAAAAAUGUCAUAGUGCAGUAUAUUGUCAAAAUAGUAUGUAAUUCAAGAAAACAUCAGAGUAUAUGUCAUCUAAAAAAUGCCAUAGAAUAAUAAUUUCAUUGCACAAGUAAAAGUAUAGAAAUUUUUUAAAACUGUUUGAAUUCUUAUAUGUUGCUAAAAAAAACCCCAAAAAAACUAAAACAGUCACAAUAAUAUGUCAGUUAAAAAAGCCUAUAGUAUAGCGUGUCGCCCAACAAACAUCAUAGUAUAGCAUGUCACUCUAAAAACAUCACAGUAUAGCCUUUAGUCCACAGCUGUCAGUAGGUGAGGAGCAACACAAAAACAGUCCAAACGCUGGUUUCCAGAGGGUUAGACGAGUAUUUAUUAAAAGAGUAAGUUUACCACAACACAACAUGUGAGGGGGUUAAAAGCAAAUGGGUGUUAGUAAAAUAAAAAUAAAUAAACAGAACUAAAAGUGAACUUCAUGUUGACAUUGAUGGGCAUUCCAACCAGGAACAAAGUAAAAGAUAAUCAAUAGGGGAAAAAACCUCUUUCUGUUCACCUCUUAAAACCCCAAAACACACCGCAUGGGUUCCCUGUUUUCCUUUGUGAACAAUUCAAAGGUCCCUCUCUAUCUCCCCACACAUCCACCAACCACUGGAACACAUCUCCAAAGUUCUGCUGGACCAGCUGAGCUUCCCCUCAGAAGAAGUGCGUCCACCUGCCAGAUGAAGGAGCCUUUUGAGAGGCAGCUGGCAUCGUGAUUGGACUGUACUUUGGUCUGUUCCAAUCCAGCUUCAGCUCCAGAGACGGCAGGCGGGACGAGUCAACGGAGGCCAGGUGGACGAAGGCAUGCAGCUGAGUACAAUCCAGAAAACAACAGAGGAGGAGUGCAGGGCCAGAACAAACAGAGUAGCAUCGUAUGUCUCUUAGAAAACAUCAUAGUAUAGCCUUUGGUAUGAAAAAACACCAUCAUAUACAUCGUAGAUUGUACAAAUAACAAGUCAAAGGAAAGAGACAUACAUUGUAGAAUUGUAGUAAUUGUGGGCUGACUGAUUUACUGAUUAUCAGUAUUUGAUUUUGUACUGAUUUACAGUAAUAAAUACAUUUUAAAGUGG